rnacentral:pre_miRNA from 1 species
UAGUGAAAUUGAUACGUGUGUCUUCACCUCUGAACUAUCAAUAUUAUGUUUCAAAUCUUUGAUUCGAUUCAUUCUUUUGCUUCAGAGUGCAGAUACACGCAUCUCUUUUCCUA